rnacentral:rRNA from 1 species
GAGUUUGAUCCUGGCUCAGAUUGAACGCUGGCGGCAUGCCUUACACAUGCAAGUCGAACGGCAGCACGGACUUCGGUCUGGUGGCGAGUGGCGAACGGGUGAGUAAUAUAUCGGAACAUACCCAGUAGUGGGGGAUAACUAUCCGAAAGGAUAGCUAAUACCGCAUACGAUCUGUGGAUGAAAGCAGGGGAUCUUCGGACCUUGUGCUAUUGGAAUGGCCGAUAUCUGAUUAGCUAGUUGGUAGGGUAAAAGCCUACCAAGGCGACGAUCAGUAGCUGGUCUGAGAGGACGACCAGCCACACUGGAACUGAGACACGGUCCAGACUCCUACGGGAGGCAGCAGUGGGGAAUUUUGGACAAUGGGGGCAACCCUGAUCCAGCAAUGCCGCGUGAGUGAAGAAGGCCCUCGGGUUGUAAAGCUCUUUUGUCAGGGAAGAAACGGAGUUCUCUAAUAUAGGAUUCUAAUGACGGUACCUGAAGAAUAAGCACCGGCUAACUACGUGCCAGCAGCCGCGGUAAU